UACGGAGGGAGCUAGCGUUGUUCGGAAUUAUACUGGGCGUAAAGCGUUACGUAGGCGGUUACUCAAAGUUCAGAGGUGAAAAGCCCGGGGCUCAACCCCGGAACUGCCUUUGAAACUAGGUAGCUAGAAUCUUGGAGAGGUCAGUGGAAUUCCGAGUGUAGAGGUGAAAUUCGUAGAUAUUCGGAAGAACACCAGUGGCGAAGGCGACUGACUGGACAAGUAUUGACGCUGAGGUACGAAAAGCGUGGGGAGCAAACAGG
rnacentral:rRNA from 1 species